rnacentral:tRNA from 1 species
AGGUAAAUUUUGUCAUUUUAAACCAUUUUACGCCAAUCAAAGCAGGACUUAAAAUCCUGUUCCCGUUAAAGGAGUGCGGGUUCGAUUCCCGCUCUGA